rnacentral:sRNA from 1 species
GGCAACCAAAGUGCAGGACAUCAAAAACAACCUGAAAGAGGCGAUUGAAACCAUUGUGGCCGCCAUGAGCAACCUGGUGCCCCCCGUGGAGCUGGCCAACCCCGAGAACCAGUUCAGAGUGGACUACAUUCUGAGUGUGAUGAACGUGCCUGACUUUGACUUCCCUCCCGAAUUCUAUGAGCACGCCAAGGCUCUGUGGGAGGAUGAAGGAGUGCGUGCCUGCUACGAACGCUCCAACGAGUACCAGCUGAUUGACUGUGCCCAGUACUUCCUGGACAAGAUCGAUGUGAUCAAGCAGGCUGACUAUGUGCCGAGCGAUCAGGACCUGCUUCGCUGCCGCGUCCUGACUUCUGGAAUCUUUGAGACCAAGUUCCAGGUGGACAAAGUCAACUUCCAGUAAGCCAACUGUUACCUUUUUAUAUAACAGAGAUCAUGGUUUCUUGACAUUCACCCCAGUCCCUCUGGAAUAACCAGCUGUCCUCCUCCCUGCCAGCAUGUUUGACGUGGGUGGCCAGCGCGACGAACGCCGCAAGUGGAUCCAGUGCUUCAACGAUGUGACUGCCAUCAUCUUCGUGGUGGCC